GAACUCCUGACCUCAGGUGAUCUGCCCACCUUGGCCUUCCAAAGUGCUGGGAUUACAGGCGUAAGCCACCACUCCCAGACACAAUCUUGUAUGGAUGGCUAUCAUCCAAAAUAAUUGCAAGCUUCCUGUGGGGGCUGGGAUUGCUUCAUAGUCCUCCAUACACCCCCUCAGGGUCCCCACAAUGCCUUGAACACCAUAAUGCUCUGGUAAAUGUUUUGGUCUGGAAAUUCGAUGUCAUUCUAAGUCCAUAGUCCUUGUCUAGUUAGACACUGGUGCUUCUAUCCUAACGAAGGUGAGUCUUCCUCUCUGCAGAUGGUACAGUCAAGAUGACCUAGCUGUAACCUGGCUACUAGAGGACCAAGGAGAAAAAUAAACUUCUACCACGCUUUCGAAAACAAGCACUCAAACUCAGGAGAUACUUGAUUGAAGUUGAAAGAGUGGUGCAUUCCCCAAGGCAGUACCCUCAUGAAUGGGAUUAGUGUCCUUUAAUAAAAGAGACCCAAGAGAGGUCCCUUGCUCCUUCCAGCAUGUGAGAUUACAGCAAAAAGAUGCUGUCUAUGAACCAGAAAGUGGGCCCUCACCAGACACUGAAUCUGUCGGCACCUUGAUCUUGGAUUUCCCAGCUUCCAGAAGUGGGAGAAAUAAAUUUCUCUUGUAAAUAAGAUAAACAGUUUAUGAUAUUUUAUUAUAGCAGCCCCAAGGGACUAAGACAGAAAUCCAGUUGUACACCAGAUGGUUGUAACACGUUCAGUGGAAUGAAAACCUUGUGUCUUGGCAGGGUGCAGUGGCUCAUGCCUGUAAUCCCAACGCUUUGGGAGGCUGAGGUGGGAGGGUCACUUGAGGCCAGGUGUUCAAGACCAGCCUGGGCAACAUAAGGAGAUGUCCAGAUAGCCGGCAAAACAGUGUUCCUGGGUAGGCCUGUGAUGGUGUUUCCAGAAGAAAUUAGUGCUGUGAGUCGGUAGAGUGAGUAAAAAAGAGUCUCUUAAAAAAAAUGUUGGCCGGGCACGGGGCUCACGCCUGUAAUCCUAGCACUUUACAAGGCUAAGGCAAGUGGAUCACUUGAGGUCAGGAGUUCGAGACCAGCCUGGCCAACAUGGUGAAACCCCAUCUCUACUAAAAAAUACAAAAAUUAGCUAGGAAUGGUGGUGUGUGCCUGUAGUCCCAGCUGCUCAGGAGGCUGAGGCAUGAGAAUCACUUGAACUCAGGAGGUGGAGGUUGCAGUGAGCCGAGAUCGUGCCACUGCACUCCAGCCUGGGUGUGGUGGUAUGCACCUGUAGUCCCAGCUACUCAGGAGGCUGAGGCAGGAAGAUCGCCUGAGCCCAGGAGAUUGAGGCUGCAGCACUCCAGCCUGGGCAACAGAGCAAGAUCUGGUUUCCAAAAAACCCAAAAAAACCUUGUGUCUUCAUGUGGAGAUUAAGUAUGGUUUAAGGAGAUGUGUAUGGAUGACAAGUUCAAAAAGGAUGGUCGUGUGAUGGUUAAUUUUAUGUGUCAGUUUGACUGAGCUAAGGGAUGUCCAGAUAGCUGGCAAAACAGUGUUCCUGGGUAGUCCUGUGAUGAUGUUUCCAGAACAAAUUAGCAUUGUGAGUUGGUAGAUUGAGUGAAAAAGAUCCUCCCAGGUGGAUCGCGAGGUCAGGAGAUCGAGACCAUCCUGGCUAACACGGUGAAACCCCAUCUCUACUAAAAAUACAAAAAAUUAGCUGGGCAUGGUGGCGGGUGCCUGUAGUCCCAGCUACUCAGGGGGCUGAGGCAGAAGAACGGCGUGAACCCGGGAGGCAGAGCUUGCAGUGAGCGGAGAUUGCACCACUGCACUCCAGCCUGGGCGAGAGAGUGAGACUCUGUCUCAGAAAAAAAAAAAAAAAUUAGAAAAAGAUCCUCCCUGUCAGUGGGUAUCAUCCACUGUUGAGUGGACAAAAGGUGGAAGAGGGGCGAAUCUGCUCUUUCUGGGCUGACAUCCAUUUUCUCUUGCCCUUGGAGGUCAGUGCUCCUAGCUCUUGCUUUUGGGCUUAGACUGGGACUUACAUCAUUGUGCCUCUGGUCCUCAGUCUUCAGAUUCAGACUGAAUUAUACCACCAGCUUUCCUGGUUUUUCAGCUUGCAGAUGGCAGAUCCUGGGACUUCUUGGCCUCCAUAACUGCAUGAGCCAAUUCCCAUAAUAAAUCUACACUUGAUCUUAGCCACAAGGCCGAGAAACGAUCAAUUCCUAUAAUAAAUCUCUCUUAUAAUAUCCUGUUGGUUCUGUUUCUCUGGAGAACCCUGACUAAUAUACCUUUUUUUUUUUUUUUUUUUUUUUUUUGAGACAGUCUUGCUCUGUUGCCCGGGCUAGAGCACAGUGGUGCCAUCACAGCUCACUGCAACCUCCAUCUCCCAGGUUCAAAUGAUUCUCCUGCCUCAGCGUCCCGAGUAGCUGGGAUUACAGGCACCUGCCACUAUGCCUGGCUAAUUUUUGUAUUUUUAGUACAAAUGGGGUUUCAUCAUGUUGGCCAGGCUGAUCUCGAACCCCUGACCUCAAGUGACCUGCCCGCCUCAGCCUCCCAAAAUGCUGCAAUUACAGGCAUGAGCCACCGCGCCCGGCCCUAAUACACCUUUUAACCUAAAAUUUCAGGACUUUCUUUACUUAGAAAAUUAUAUACACAUAUAUAGCUGUGAUUGUGCCACUGCAAUCCAGCCUGGGCGACAGAGUGAGCCCUUGUCUCAAAAGAAAAAAAAAGUUUGGUAUAUAAUCUUCCAAUCCCUUUCUAUGAAUUUAAAUGUUUAUUUUCUACCUAGUAAUCUUAUUUUUUUUAAUUCUUUAUUUCCUAGAUAAUGUUCAUUGAACCUUUUUGUAUUGAGAAAUUUUAAGGCACAUUUAAAAAAUAUAUUCUAACCAGGCACCGUGGCUAUCUUAGCACUUUAGGAGGCUGAGGCGGGUGAUCAGUUGAGGUCAGGAGUUCAAGACCGGCCUGAUGGUGAAAACCCUGUCUCUACAAAAAAUACAAAAAUUAGCCGGGCACAGUGGUGUGACCCUGUAAUCCCAGAUACUGGGGAGGCUGAGGCAUGAAAAUUGCUUGAACAUGGGAGACAGAGGUUGCAGUGAGCCAAGAUUGCACCACUGCACUCCAGCCUGGGCGACAGAGUGAGGCUCUGUCUCCAAAAAUAAUAAGAAGAAAGAGAGAGAGAGAGAAACAAACAAACAAACAGAGGCAAAAUUAAUAUAAGUAGCAUUUUUUGUUGUGGUUGUUGUUUUCUUCCUGAGACAGAGUUUUGCUCUUACGCCCAGGCUGAAGUGCAAUGGCCAUGAUCUCCGCUCACCACAACCUCCGCCCCCAGGGUUCAAGCGAUUCUCCUGCCUGAGCUGGAGAUUACAGGCACCCACCACCACCACGCCCAGCUAAUGUUGUAGUUUUAGUAGAGACAGGGUUUGGCUAUGUUGGACAGGCUGGUCUCGAACUCCUGACCUCAGGCGAUCCACCCACCUCGGCCUCCCAAAGUGCUAGGAUUAUAGGCCUGAGCCACUGCACCCAGCCCCGUUUUUUUUGUUUGUUUGUUUGUUUUUUUUUUUUUUUUAUUUUUAUUUUUUAUUUUUUAUUUUUUAUUUUUAUUGAUCAUUCUUGGGUGUUUCUCGCAGAGGGGGAUUUGGCAGGGUCAUAGGACAAUAGUGGAGGGAAGGUCAGCAGAUAAACAAGUGAACAAAGGUCUCUGGUUUUCCUAGGCAGAGGACCCUGCGGCCUUCCGCAGUGUUUGUGUCCCUGGGUACUUAAGAUUAGGGAGUGGUGAUGACUCUUAACGAGCAUGCUGCCUUCAAGCAUCUGUUUAACAAAGCACAUCUUGCACCGCCCUUAAUCCAUUUAACCCUGAGUGGACACAGCACAUGUUUCAGAGAGCACAGGGUUGGGGAUAAGGUCACAGAUCAACAGGAUCCCAAGGCAGAAGAAUUUUUCUUAGUACAGAACAAAAUGAAAAGUCUCCCAUGUCUACUUCUAUCCACACAGACCCCGCAACCAUCCGAUUUCUCAAUUUUUUCCCCACCCUUCCCGCCUUUCUAUUCCACAAAACCGCCAUUGUCAUCAUGGCCCAUCCCCAAUGAGCCGCUGGGCACACCUCCCAGACGGGGUCGUGGCCGGGCAGAGGGGCUCCUCACUUCCCAGUAGGGGCGGCCCGGCAGAAGUGCCCCUCACCUCCCAGAUGGGGCGGCUGGCCGGGAGGGGGGCUGACCCCCCCACCGCCCUCCCGGACGGGGCGGCUGGCCAGGCAGAGGGGCUCCUCACUUCCCAGUAGGGGCGGCCGGGCAGAGGCGCCCCUCACCUCCUGGAUAGGGCGGCUGGCCGGGCGGGGGACUGUUCCCCCCACCUCCCUCCCGGACGGGGCGGCUGGCCGGGCAGAGGGGUCCUCACUUCCCAGUAGGGGCGGCCGGGCAGAGGCGCCCCUCACCUCCCGGACGGGGCGGCUGGCCAGGCAGGGGGCUGAUCCCCCCACCUCCCUCCCGGACGGGGCGGCUGGCCGGGCGGGGGGCUGACCCCCCCCACCUCCCUCCCGGACGGGGCGGCUGGCCGGGCAGGGGGCUGACCCCCCCUCCCCCCUCCCGGACGGGGCGGCUGGCCGGGCGGGGGGCUGACCCCCCCACCUCCCUCCCGGAUGGGGCGGCUGGCCAGGCGGGGGGCUGACCCCCCCACCUCCCUCCUGGGCGGGGCGGCUGGCCGGGCAGAGGGGCUCCUCACUUCCCAGUAGGGGCGGCCGGGCAGAGGCGCCCCUCACCUCCCGGACGGGGCGGCUGGCCAGGCGGGGGGCUGACCCCCCACCUCCCUCCCGGACUGGGCGGCUGGCCGGGCGGGGGGUUGACCCCCCCACCUCCCUCCUGGACGGGGCGACUGGCCGGGCAGAGGGGCUCCUCACUUCCCAGUAGGGGCGGCCGGGCAGAGGAGCCCCUCACCUCCCGGACGGGGCGGCUGGCCGGGCGGGGGGCUGACCCCCCCCACCUCCCUCCCGGACGGGGUGGCUGCCGGGCGGAGACGCUCCUCACUUCCCAGACGGGGUGGUUGCCAGACGGAGGGGCUCCUCACUUCUCAGACGGGGCGGUUGCCAGGCAGAGGGUUUCCUCACUUCUCAGACGGAGCGGCCGGGCAGAGACACUCCUCACCUCCCAGACAGGGUUGCGGCCCAGCAGAGGCGCUCCUCACAUCCCAGACAGGGCGGUGGGGCAGAGGUGCUCCCCACAUCUCAGACGAUGGGCGGCCGGGCAGAGACGCUCCUCACUUCCUAGAUGGGAUGGCGGCGGGGAAGAGGCGCUUCUCGCUUCCUAGAUGGGAUGGCGGCCGGGCAGAGACGCUCCUCACUUUCCACACUGGGCAGCCAGGCAGAGGGGCUCCUCAUAUCCCAGACGAUGGGUGGCCAAGCAGAGACGCUCCUCACUUCCCAGACGGGGUGGCGGCCGGGCAGAGGCUGCAAUCUCGGCUCUUUGGGAGGCCAAGGCAGGCGGCUGGGAGGUGGUUGUAGCGAGCCGAGAUCACGCCACUGCACUCCAGCCUGGGCACCAUUGAGCACUGAGUGAACGAGACUCCAUCUGCAAUCCCGGCACCUCGGGAGGCCGAGGCUGGCGGAUCACUCGCGGUUAGGAGCUGGAGACCAGCCCGGCCAACACAGCGAAACCCCAUCUCCACCAAAAAAAAACGAAAACCAGUCAGGCGUGGCGGCGCGCGCCUGCAAUCGCAGGCACUCGGCAGGCUGAGGCAGGAGAAUCAGGCAGGGAGGUUGCAGUGAGCCGAGAUGGCAGCAGUACCGUCCAGCUUUGGCUCGGCAUGAGAGGGA
rnacentral:lncRNA from 1 species